rnacentral:pre_miRNA from 1 species
GUAGUACUCCCUCCGUCCAAAAAUACUUGUCAUCAAAAUAGAUAAAAAGAGAUGUAUCUAUAACUAAAAUAUGUCUAGAUACAUCCUCUUUUAUCCAUUUUGAUGUCAAGUAUUUCCGGACGGAGGGAGUAUCUC